GGGAAAUCGAUGGAUCGACCUCUCUCCUUAACUUGUUCUUAAUUCUCAUGUACAAUCAAAGAAACACACACGCACACACACAUGCGUGCACUGCAUCUCUCUGAGCAACGAACUCGAUUGAUUUGAUUUUGAUUCGCUAGGGAUUAAAGAGAAGCUGAGAUAGAGAUUUCGACGAUCAUGCGACGCUGAAGGAGCUGGCUGCGCUCUCGACGAACUUCCUGGCGCCCUUGAACCACCUCUUGUCGCCGGCCUGCGCCUUGCAGAUGUACAGCUUGCCGUCGUUGACGGUGGCCGUGAUCAGCUGGUGCUUGCCGCCCUCGUCGCCGUCCGCCGUCCUCGUCAGCACCGUUACGCUGUAGUACUGCUUCCCUCCCACCACCGGCGCCGAGCUCUCCAGGAUGUUCGCCGUCGCCACCGCGUCCGACUCAAACCCACCCUCGGAAUCUGUCUUGCCGGAGUAGGCCUGCUUGCCAAGCAAGAAGUCGACCUGGGCGAGGAACUCCUCGGGGGAGCCGAACUCGGUGAUGGUCUUCUUGGUGGUGGGGUUGAUUAUGACGGAGACGUUGCUGUUGGCGUCGAAGUUGUCCUCGUAGCGGAGGACCUGUCCGGGGAACUCGCGCUCCUUGCUGGGGUUCCACUUGGACGGGAUCAGCAGCUUGAACCCCUCGCCGCUGUAGGCGAUGAACUCCGUGUUCGUCUUGGGCUUCCCGAACACGUUCGCCGCCUCGCCGUAGGCCGCGGCGGCGGGCGCCACCUUCACCCCCACCGCCGCCGUCGCUCCGGCCAGCAGCGCGAGCGCCGCGCGGCGGGAGACGUCGGCGUCGUCCUGCUUCUGGGCGCGGCAGACGAGGAGGUGGGUCCGUGUCGCCGGGGACGGGGAGGCGACGCGCGCGGCGACGCGGGCCGUGGACUGGUGGAGGAAGCAGGAGGUGGACGCCAUUGCCGGCCGGUGGGCUGGUGCCUCGCCGCUGAUUGCCUGCCUGAGAGUGGAGCGGGGUGUAGUGUGGUGGAG
rnacentral:misc_RNA from 1 species